rnacentral:rRNA from 1 species
AGAGUUUGAUCCUGGCUCAGGACGAACGCUGGCGGCGUGCCUAAUACAUGCAAGUCGAACGAACUCUGGUAUUGAUUGGUGCUUGCAUCAUGAUUUACAUUUGAGUGAGUGGCGAACUGGUGAGUAACACGUGGGAAACCUGCCCAGAAGCGGGGGAUAACACCUGGAAACAGAUGCUAAUACCGCAUAACAACUUGGACCGCAUGGUCCGAGCUUGAAAGACGGCUUCGGCUAUCACUUUUGGAUGGUCCCGCGGCGUAUUAGCUAGAUGGUGGGGUAACGGCUCACCAUGGCAAUGAUACGUAGCCGACCUGAGAGGGUAAUCGGCCACAUUGGGACUGAGACACGGCCCAAACUCCUACGGGAGGCAGCAGUAGGGAAUCUUCCACAAUGGACGAAAGUCUGAUGGAGCAACGCCGCGUGAGUGAAGAAGGGUUUCGGCUCGUAAAACUCUGUUGUUAAAGAAGAACAUAUCUGAGAGUAACUGUUCAGGUAUUGACGGUAUUUAACCAGAAAGCCACGGCUAACUACGUGCCAGCAGCCGCGGUAAUACGUAGGUGGCAAGCGUUGCCCGGAUUUAUUGGGCGUAAAGCGAGCGCAGGCGGUUUUUUAAGUCUGAUGUGAAAGCCUUCGG